UGAGAAUUCUAAGGUGAGCGAGCGAACUCUCGUUAAGGAACUCGGCAAAAUGACCCCGUAACUUCGGGAGAAGGGGUGCUCUUUAGGGUUAACGCCCAGAAGAGCCGCAGUGAAUAGGCCCAAGCGACUGUUUAUCAAAAACACAGGUCUCUGCUAAACCGUAAGGUGAUGUAUAGGGGCUGACGCCUGCCCGGUGCUGGAAGGUUAAGAGGAGUGGUUAGCUUCUGCGAAGCUACGAAUCGAAGCCCCAGUAAACGGCGGCCGUAACUAUAACGGUCCUAAGGUAGCGAAAUUCCUUGUCGGGUAAGUUCCGACCCGCACGAAAGGCGUAACGAUUUGGGCACUGUCUCAACGAGAGACUCGGUGAAAUCAUAGUACCUGUGAAGAUGCAGGUUACCCGCGACAGGACGGAAAGACCCCGUGGAGCUUUACUGUAGCCUGAUAUUGAAAUUCGGCACAGCUUGUACAGGAUAGGUAGGAGCCUUUGAAACGUGAGCGCUAGCUUACGUGGAGGCGCUGGUGGGAUACUACCCUAGCUGUGUUGGCUUUCUAACCCGCACCACUUAUCGUGGUGGGAGACAGUGUCAGGCGGGCAGUUUGACUGGGGCGGUCGCCUCCUAAAAGGUAACGGAGGCGCUCAAAGGUUCCCUCAGAAUGGUUGGAAAUCAUUCAUAGAGUGUAAAGGCAUAAGGGAGCUUGACUGCGAGACCUACAAGUCGAGCAGGGUCGAAAGACGGACUUAGUGAUCCGGUGGUUCCGCAUGGAAGGGCCAUCGCUCAACGGAUAAAAGCUACCCCGGGGAUAACAGGCUUAUCUCCCCCAAGAGUUCACAUCGACGG
rnacentral:rRNA from 1 species